GGUUAUUUUAUAAUUCUCCUACAUUCUCAAACCCUAACCUACGACUACUUUUCUUGCUCUCCCUCUCUCGCUAUUGUUGACAAGAAUAAGGAGCACCAAAGACUUCAAUUUUUCGGUUCUAGGCUAUAUCGGACUCUCGUCAUCGCUAGGACGUGAUUGACCAACCCCGGCCAUUAGCUAUUUUUAAGAGUCCAACCGAGCAACCAAAGGUCGUUAGAGGUUUAGCUGGAGCUUGCAGGGGAGCAGGAGUCGUUGUGGGACAUGAACCACUGCAUGUUCAUGAAAAACUUUAGUAAAUUAAAAACUUAAAUUUUUGUUUUGAACUUAAAUGCUUCCGCUGACUAUUCAACUUGGUUUUGGACUUUGGUUUGGAGAACUUUAGACGUUUGGUUUUACUUUACUUUAUUUAAUGUUUAUUAUAAUUGGUGGUAUGAUCCUGGUCAGUCACACGCCUCGCGGUAAUACUCCGCUUGUGGAUUU